UGUUCUCUGGGGUGUGCGCCAGUCGUUUAUCGUCCCUCGAGCCUAUGCGUAAUACCCAGGGGGCCUAAUGCUAGCCAGACCCGUGUGCAUGUCCGCGCGACGGAAAGCCUGACGGUCUGGCUGCGGCCACCCACCUGAACCUUUAGGUUCAGGGCCAGAACGACAGCGGCACUCUGGAGAACUC
rnacentral:other from 1 species